AGGUCCUGCCUGCCCAGUGACUAUGUUAAACGGCCGCGGUAUUUUGACCGUGCAAAGGUAGCGCAAUCACUUGUCUUUUAAAUGAAGACCUGUAUGAAUGGUGGAACGAGGGCCUAACUGUCUCCCUUUUCAAGUCAAUGAAAUUGAUCUGCCCGUGCAGAAGCGGGUAUACAAAUACAAGACGAGAAGACCCUUUGGAGCUUAAGAUUAAAAAUCAACUAUGUCAAAUAUUUAUUAAAUAGAACUAAAUAGUAAUUGAUCAUAAUCUUCGGUUGGGGCGACCACGGAAUAAAAACAAACUUCCACAUGGACUGAGGACUAACCUUAAAACCAAGAAAGACAUUUCUAAGUAACAGAAUUUCUGACCACACAGAUCCGGCAAAUUGCCGAUCAAUGGACCAAGUUACCCUAGGGAUAACAGCGCAAUCCCCUUUUAGAGUUCCUAUCGACAAGGGGGUUUACGACCUCGAUGUUGGAUCAGGAC
rnacentral:rRNA from 3 species